rnacentral:tRNA from 1 species
GGAUCCAUAGCUCAGCGGUUAGAGCAGGUGACUCAUAAUCACUUGGUCGCUGGUUCAAAUCCGGCUGGAUCCACCA